AACGCACCUUGCGCUCCUUGGUAUUCCGAGGAGCAUGCCUGUUUGAGUGUCAUGAAAUCAUCAACCACUCCCUUGGUUUUCCGAGGUGUUUGGCUUGGACUUGGGUGUCUUGCCUCUGCUCGUCGGACGGCUCACCUUAAAAGCAUCAGUGGAUCCUGUCUUGUGCGACAUGGUUUGACUCGGCGUGAUAAGUGUUUCGCUGAGGACAUCCUUCGGGAUGGCCAGGUCGCCGGACUCCAUGUCUGCUCCCUAACCCUUCUCCCCCCGGAGAACUACUUUUGACAUCUGGCCUCAAAUCAGGUAGGAUUACCCCGCUGAACUUAA
rnacentral:rRNA from 1 species